CGGGGAGCGGCUGAUUUCCUCUGUUUGUGGGUGUAACCCAGAUCAGGAUUUCUUCUUGUACCUGUGCUUUUUGGCCUUUGUAAGAGACCGAGAAGAUGGUGAAUGUUCUCAAAGGUGUUCUAAUUGAAUGUGAGGUGGGAUCUGAUGCAUAUUUGUCUCUACAGUGACCCAGCAAUGAAGCAGUUUCUGCUCUACUUGGAUGAGUCAAAUGCCUUGGGGAAGAAGUUCAUCAUACAAGACCUGGAUGAAACUCAUGUCUUUGUAUUAGCUGAGCUGGUUAACUUUCUCCAGGAGAGAGUGGGCGAGUUAAUGGACCAGAACUCUUUUCCUAUUACUCAGAAGUAAAGUCUAGAGAAAUGAGAU